AUCUAGGGUAUACAAUAGAAAUAAAGAAAUAGGAAAAUAUUCAAUGGGGUUUUCUUUGGCUUCAAAAGUUCUGCUAUAAGAAUUUUAGUAUGUUGCAGUUUUUACUACUGUUAGUGGAAGGAGACCCAUUUGUUUAGAAGUGAUGCCAUUGUAGAUUGAUUUCCUUCAACAGUACAUCUAUAUUAAGCUGUCUUUGCAGAUAUGGCUGCCUUAUUGUCUGCUGUGCAUCUGCCCUGCUCCUCCAUUAUAGCAAGACGGCAGUACAAGAAUCCUCGAGAAUUUUGAUCGCUUUAUCCAAGUCAUUUUCAGUGAGAAGCCGAUUGGCCACCAACCGUAGACUUGGUUGUGGUUCACAUGAAAACAAACAUUUCUUACUUCGUUUGCUAUUUGGCGAAGUAAUUGACCGUCAUGAUUAUGACAACCUGUGGAUUUUGCGAGACGUAAAUGCUUGACUGGAGCGUCUCUAUGUCCUCCAAGACGAAGUUGAUGCAGAGUAGAAAGUGCACUAUGCAACUUGCGGCAUACAUUGUUCAGAUCCAAAAACAUGUCAGGAUCAUGCUCCAUAGUAUCUAUUGCUGAGAUAGCUGCUGCCGCAAGCAUGGGAGGUAAAGAUGCGGAAAAGCAAUAGCCUGGGAAAUAAAUACAUGGUUCAUUACCGUAACAAAUCAACCUUGUGAAAUAUAUAGUAAUAAUAACAAAUUACCUAGCCCGGAAAGGCGUUGAUGAUCGACCACGUAAGAUGUCCCUACACAGAAACCUCCAACAGAUGGAAUGGCAUAUUCGAGACUUCCCAUUAUUAGAUCUAUAUGGUCUGCCUGUGAUAAAAUUAUUGUUAAAAUGGUGAAACCAAUGCGCAACGUGCCGUUACAUACCGGGAUACCAUAAUAUUCUGUAAUUCCUUUACCGUGUCGUCCCAAAGUGCCAAAAGAUAUGCUUUCAUCGACGAAGAGACGAACCUUGUACUUCGACUUCAACUCCACAAUUUCUGGUAAUGGACAAAUAUCUCCGCUGUUCAUGUAGACUCCUUCCACUACCAAAAAUUUUCUAACCGGUUUUCCAUUUUUGCCAUUCUGAAAAUAGAAUCCAAAGGUUAAAUAGAGCCUACAAGAAUAUG